rnacentral:rRNA from 1 species
AAGGAAUAUUGGUCAAUGGAUGCAAGUCUGAACCAGCCAUGCCGCGUGAAGGAUGAAGGUCCUCUGGAUUGUAAACUUCUUUUAUCUGGGACGAAAACGGGAUUUUUAUCUCAAUUGACGGUACCAGAGGAAUAAGCACCGGCUAACUCCGUGCCAGCAGCCGCGGUAAUACGGAGGGUGCGAGCGUUAUCCGGCUUUACUGGGUUUAAAGGGUGCGUAGGUGGGCUUAUAAGUCAGUGGUGAAAUCUCCGAGCUUAACUUGGAAACUUCCGUUGAUACUAUAGGUCUUGAAUUAUCUGGAGGUAAGCGGAAUAUGGCAUGUAGCGGUGAAAUGCUUAGAUAUGACAGAGAACACCAAUUGCGAAGGCAGCUUACUACAUAUAAAUUGACGCCGAGG